rnacentral:rRNA from 1 species
GACGAACGCUGGCGGCGUGCUUAACACAUGCAAGUCGAACGGAAAGGCCCUGCUUGCAGGGUACUCGAGUGGCGAACGGGUGAGUAACACGUGGGUGAUCUGCCCUGCACUUCGGGAUAAGCCUGGUAAACUGGGUCUAAUACCGGAUAGGAGCCAUUUUUAGUGUGAUGGUUGGAAAGUUUUUUCGGUGUAGGAUGAGCUCGCGGCCUAUCAGCUUGUUGGUGGGGUAAUGGCCUACCAAGGCGGCGACGGGUAGCCGGCCUGAGAGGGUGGACGGCCACAUUGGGACUGAGAGACGGCACAGACUCCUACGGGAGGCAGCAGUGGGGAAUAUUGCACAAUGGGCGCAAGCCUGAUGCAGCGACGCCGCGUGGGGGAUGACGGCCUUCGGGUUGUAAACUCCUUUCGCUAGGGACGAAGCUUUUUGUGACGGUACCUAGAUAAGAAGCACCGGCUAACUACGUG